AGGGCCGGCCGCCCGCGAGCACUUGGGGGCGGGCCGGGCGGCGAAGUGGGGCCCGUCCUCCCAGCCUGGGGUAAGGACAGCUGGGGUUUUCGUUGGGUGGUUCCCCCUCUUCCUGAUUUCGCACAUGCAAAUCCCCGCCCCCGCGCUGGCGGGCGUCCCGGAGCGCACUCGAGGGGAAGUGCGGAAGCUGCAGCGGCCUCUGCGCGCCUGUAAUUAAGGGCUAUUUGUCACAUGAAGAAGCUAUAGAUUUAUAUUAUCUCACCUUUUUAAAGGCUUUUUUGAAAAUCCUUUCACUAUUUUAGAAACUUGCUGAACCCUUUUUUCAAAGAUCCAGUCCACAUCUGAAAAGUGAAAAUGUUUCACUUGUGCAGGAUAAACUUAAUUAGAAAAAAAAGGAAGAUUACAAGACAAGGUGAUGGAUGGACUAAAAACAACAACAAAUAAAUAGAGCCUGCCCCAGUAAGAUUGUAUCAUGUAGGAGAGAGGACUUGGGUGCCUGCUGCAGGGGGCACGGAUCCAGAGAGAGAGAGAGAGGAGAGAGGAGAAAGAAGCACCCAAGCUGUCGGUACCUCUGCGGACCACAACGCUGAGCUGAGACACCACCUCCCGACAUGCACAUGGGGCCGGCUCCUUAGCUACACAUCAAACACCAAGUCUGCUGCCCAUGCUGGUUGCCGAGUGAGGUUUGGGCGUUAUAAAAAUGCAAAUUUGGUCCCAGGAUCAUUCGUCUGAGUUCCACUCAGAUUGGAGAGUUACGAGUACAAACUCACCUUUUUCUUCUUCUGAAGAAUCUCUGCGGGAAGGUAGUGAUGAAGUUGUUUUUUUUUAACAUGAGUUGCUUCAAUUUUCAUUCCCUCCUUUAGCAUGUUUAUAUUGUUUGCCUGUCUGUACACUGUAACAGAGUCAGUAUGUUAAAAUGGGGAACUUCCUUCUGAACCAAGGGCUGUUUUCUUUUUCUGAAAUACAUACCUUUAAUAUCUCCACAUCACUACACAAACACACAUUCCUCUUACAGAACAAAUACUUCCAAAACAUUUUCACAAUGUCACAACCCUAUUCAAGUACUGACUAGUUUUCUCAUGUCCAACUUCUAAGACUUCCCCAUAAUCAAAUCUAACAAAAUAAAUGUAUGGAAAAAAGGCUUUUUCCAAAUCUUGUUUUCUGCUAUUUUCC